CCGGUUCACUUUAACACUGAGGCGUGACGACGAGGCACUACGGUGCUGAAGCAACAAAUGCCCUGCUUCCAGGAAAAGCCUCUAAGCAUCAGGUAACAUCAAAUCGUACCCCAAACCGACACAGGUGGUCAGGUAGAGAAUACCAAGGCGCUUGAGAGAACUCGGGUGAAGGAACUAGGCAAAAUGGUGCCGUAACUUCGGGAGAAGGCACGCUGACACGUAGGUGAAGUGAUUUACUCAUGGAGCUGAAGUCAGUCGAAGAUACCAGCUGGCUGCAACUGUUUAUUAAAAACACAGCACUGUGCAAACACGAAAGUGGACGUAUACGGUGUGACGCCUGCCCGGUGCCGGAAGGUUAAUUGAUGGGGUCAGCGCAAGCGAAGCUCCUGAUCGAAGCCCCGGUAAACGGCGGCCGUAACUAUAACGGUCCUAAGGUAGCGAAAUUCCUUGUCGGGUAAGUUCCGACCUGCACGAAUGGCGUAAUGAUGGCCAGGCUGUCUCCACCCGAGACUCAGUGAAAUUGAACUCGCUGUGAAGAUGCAGUGUACCCGCGGCAAGACGGAAAGACCCCGUGAACCUUUACUAUAGCUUGACACUGAACAUUGAGCCUUGAUGUGUAGGAUAGGUGGGAGGCUUUGAAGUGUGGACGCCAGUCUGCAUGGAGCCGACCUUGAAAUACCACCCUUUAAUGUUUGAUGUUCUAACGUGGACCCGUUACCCGGGUUGCGGACAGUGUCUGGUGGGUAGUUUGACUGGGGCGGUCUCCUCCUAAAGAGUAACGGAGGAGCACGAAGGUUGGCUAAUCCUGGUCGGACAUCAGGAGGUUAGUGCAAUGGCAUAAGCCAGCUUGACUGCGAGCGUGACGGCGCGAGCAGGUGCGAAAGCAGGUCAUAGUGAUCCGGUGGUUCUGAAUGGAAGGGCCAUCGCUCAACGGAUAAAAGGUACUCCGGGGAUAACAGGCUGAUACCGCCCAAGAGUUCAUAUCGACGGCGGUGUUUGGCACCUCGAUGUCGGCUCAUCACAUCCUGGGGCUGAAGUAGGUCCCAAGGGUAUGGCUGUUCGCCAUUUAAAGUGGUACGCGAGCUGGGUUUAGAACGUCGUGAGACAGUUCGGUCCCUAUCUGCCGUGGGCGCUGGAGAACUGAGGGGGGCUGCUCCUAGUACGAGAGGACCGGAGUGGACGCAUCACUGGUGUUCGGGUUGUCAUGCCAAUGGCACUGCCCGGUAGCUAAAUGCGGAAGAGAUAAGUGCUGAAAGCAUCUAAGCACGAAACUUGCCCCGAGAUGAGUUCUCCCUGAGACUUAGAGUCUCCUGAAGGAACGUUGAAGACGACGACGUUGAUAGGCCGGGUGUG
rnacentral:rRNA from 1 species